UCUAAAUCAAGAGUCCCCCAGCCCGGAACUAACUGCUGACACAGGCCAAGGUGUUUUGAUCAUGAAUAGACUGGGUUUCCUACCUAUAAGGUUUUUAAUGCGUCACUGAAGGGCCAGGGACUAGGGUCAACUUGUCAAAAAGUUGGGGUCGGGGGAAGACAUUAUGCUUGUGUCCUCCCCAGGUGAGCUGUGGACAGUUAAGGUGUUUUCCUCACCAUAAUAAUGGGCUCUGAGAAAUCAUGUUACUAAAAAUCAGUUUAACUCUGGAUCCACCCACUGUGUACAGAAUACAUUGUAAUAGUCGGCACGGGAUGAUGGGGCAAUAAGAGGGGAUUCGUUUGUGACACAACAGUCAUGCACGGAAUGCGGAAGACAGAUUCCAUACUGGUACUAAUGCGGUUGGUUCUUUCUAGUUCAACAGCUCUGGAAACCCGGUGGCCAGUAUUUACACUUCCUGAGCAGCGGAGGUCCUCUAGCCUGGCCACGUGUCAGGCUGUAGCAGGUGAAGACGGCCUUCAGAGCGAGCCCAGAGGACCGAGGUGUGGGGUGGGAAACAGCGUCCUCCUUGCAUGAGAUGAAUGUACAUUUACUGUCUGUUCUGUGAAUCGUGA
rnacentral:lncRNA from 1 species